UCUUCCUAUAUUUCCCCAAUGUCCCAAUUCUGAAAAUGUCCUUUUAAGAAAUGUGUUUUCUUGGAAGCUAAGCAGGGUUGGGCCUGGUUAGUACUUAGAUGGGAGACUACCUAGGAAGACCAGGU
rnacentral:rRNA from 1 species